UCUUGAGGAUGAAGGGAUCGUUUGUUCUAAAUUCUCCGUUUCAUUUGCGUCAUCGAAGAACUUUGUCACUUCUAUAAUUUAAUUCAACCCUAAUAUUUAACUUUAAUGAUUUUACAUUUCGUUAUAACUUUUACUUACUUUUGACUUAUCUUUAAGCGCGGAUAUGAUACGGAGCAAUACGAUUUUGACCUCGACGAGCUCCACAAAUCUGCUACAGCGUUAGAAACGAAGAAACACUAACAUUGAAAUAAUAUCGUGGCAGUAAACGAGACAAUUUCUUUGCAACAAAAUCGUCCAUUCAGUUCGUGAUCCUGGCACUCGUAUUAUGUAAAUCGCCGCGCGACAAAGUUCGUUAAAGGUCUUCGAAGUAUGCUGUUGACUUACAUCACGAUGCCAAGAAGUGCAUCGAUUUUGAGUUAAUGUUACGGUGGAUCUGAUAUGUGAAAUUAUGAAGAUUGGUUCACAUGCAUAAUACAUACUGCACAAAGAAGAGAAGACCGAAAGGGAACAACAGCAGGCGAAAUCGCAAGAAGAAGAAGAAGUAAAAGAAGCCAAGAAGAAGAAUAAAUAGAAGAAUAAGAAAUAAAAGGAGCCAAGAAGAUCAGUGGUUCUUUUGUUCGGAUUCCUCUUCUUGUUCACCGAAUUUAUUGCAUGACCAAUCAUUGGACUCCCUUUUGCACAGCCACGGAAACGUUCUUGGGUUGCAGCAAGUUUCUGCUCGCAACUCGGCCUGUUACUCUCGCGUUUGCGGAGACGGUUAUAUGUAAAUGAGGAACAGAGAACUUGUAGCGAAGAUCGAAGUAAGACCGCGACCGACCAUUCCAAGGGCAUGUUUAAGGUCCAAAGAACGUUGCAACCGGACGAAAUAUUAAAUAUUAAUCGCCGUAUGAAACUUCCUUACGGUAGAUACAUCGGCUCGUGAACGGGGUUGUACCAAGUUUUUAUGGGUGUAUCGAAGUAAGUCGUAUGUCGACGAAGUUCGACAAGACAAUGGGGAUUGAAGAACUUCCCAUAAGAAUUCCAAUACGAUGCAGGAAUUUUUUGUAUCGAAGAUCGUAUAAUACUCUGUGGCUAUACUUUGAUACUAGAAUUAUCGGUAACUACAAGAGUAUGAAUGUUUUACCAAAGAAAUUGAAGUGGAAGAUACAUAGAGGAAUACAUUAGGAACAACUAUAUGUAGGUAUAUUUUGCAACAUUGAUAAUUUACAUUUCUUAGAGAAAGUUAUUCAAAUCCUUUUAAAUGUAAUUAUGAAUUUGCAAUUUUACUACCAUUCCUAAUUAUAGUUUUUUUUUUAUCUAAUUGUUUAAAGUAAAAGAUUAUUCAACCAUUCGAUAACGAAAGAAUAUUUUUUUCUUCGAAAAAAUUUUUUAAAAAUGUGAAAACAACCGAUAUAUGUGGAAAAGAAUAGUUCACCCACUCAUGAAAAUUCGCGGUUUGAGCAGAAAAACCGCAACCAGAAUAUUGCAUCCCCAUCACGAGGGAAGCGCACGGUGAAAAAUUAAAACAGCAUUCCGUGCCUUAUAAAGAGUUCUGUUGUCUCGUUACGCGGGAUGCACGAGAACGUGCAUGGCGGAUGCUGUUGGUGCACGUGUGCAGCGUAAAUCUCUUAACCUUACUGAUGUGACCGUGUGUAGAGGAAAGAGAGGAAAGCACUGUGCAGACAUAAACUCAGGAAUGGGAACAAACACCGUCGGACAGUGUUCGUUGCAAAGAGAAGCGAACUUGCAACGUUGUUGGGCCCGGCCAGAAAAUAUCGAGGGCUGAAAUAAUAGCGAAGGAAUAGAGAUCUCUCCUGCCGAAGAACUCCGAUAUCCAGUUAGUUAAUAUUAAUGUGCACGUACUGAGAAUUUCCAGUUAUCCACGAUUUUGUCAAUUUUAGUAUAAUCGAACUAGUUUCGAAUCGGUUAUGUAACAAUAUAUUUUCUAAUUGCUUUUAGUAGAUUGAUAGUAAUUUUGUUUAUGGAAAUGUCCAUUUGUAUGAUUGCAACUAAAGAAGUGAAACUAAAGUUUUGAUGCACGUAAUAAAUGUUAUUAAUAAACGUACGAUAAAUAGUAACGCAAUAAUUUAGUCAGCGUGUAUAUUUCAUUUCUCAAACAGAGA